rnacentral:sRNA from 1 species
GCUGGGUGUGGUGGUGCACGCCCGUAAUCCCCAUGGCUCAGGAGGCUGAGACAGGAGGAUUUCAAGUUCAAAGCCAGCCUCAUCUAAAGCAAAGUGCUAAGCAACUCAGUGAGACCCUGUCUAUA